rnacentral:rRNA from 1 species
AACGAACGCUGGCGGCAUGCCUAACACAUGCAAGUCGAACGAGACCUUCGGGUAUAGUGGCGCACGGGUGCGUAACGCGUGGGAACCUGCCCUUAGGUUCGGAAUAACUCCCCGAAAGGGGUGCUAAUACCGGAUAAUGUCUUCGGACCAAAGAUUUAUCGCCUUUGGAUGGGCCCGCGUUGGAUUAGCUAGUUGGUAGGGUAAAAGCCUACCAAGGCGACGAUCCAUAGCUGGUCUGAGAGGAUGAUCAGCCACACUGGGACUGAGACACGGCCCAGACUCCUACGGGAGGAAGCAGUGGGGAAUAUUGGACAAUGGGCGAAAGCCUGAGCCAGCAAUGCCGCGUGAGUGAUGAAGGCCUUAGGGUUGUAAAGCUCUUUUACCCGGGAUGAUAAUGACAGUACCGGGAGAAUAAGCGCCGGCUAACUCCGUG